UGACAGAAAGCCAGUUAUGACCAGAAGGCACGAGAGAGAGUUUCAGACCAGAGUUAAGGUGUUGGUUCUUCUUCCCUCCUCCGCAAAUAAAUUAUUAACCAAAUGGCAAGGGCCAUUUGAGAUAAAAAGGAGGGCUGGAACUGUAGAUUAUGAAGUACACCACCCAGGGCAUGUAAGGGAACACCAGAUCUACCGUGUAAACCUACUGAAGGCCUGGAGGGAGCCUGAGGGAUGGCUGUUAAGUUCCGAAGAGAUACAUGAAGAUCUAGGCCCCAAGGUGCUCCAGUAGAUGGUCAGGUUAUUCAUUGUUAAGAAGAGCCAGAAGGUCUUGUAGAACACCUGGAACAAGGAGGAGGAACCAGCCUAGAUUCACUGGUUGCAAAAAAGUGUUUGGAUCAACUGUCUUGGAACCUGAAGUCCCCAUUAUUCACAGGGCAGAAAAAGGACACAGCUC